rnacentral:lncRNA from 1 species
CAUCCUCAUAAAAAAGAAAACAAAACACUGAAAAAGCAUUACUUGAGAGGCAGACUCCAUCCAUGCCCCCUGAGUUCUUAUCUCUGGAAGUUGAACUGAUAAGGUGAGUUUUUCUUUUCU